UGGGGUGUCCUGUGGCCACUGCCUUUUGCAAGAUGCAGCAGAAUGUUGAAGGCAAAGAGGCAAAGUCCUGACUUUUACAGAAGUCCAGGAAGGGAAUAAUAGCUAUAAGGGAAGAAGAAUAUUAAAGAACCAGGCUCUGAUCCAGAUAAGAAAUUCUAUACGGGAAAGGAGACCUUGAAGGGAAAGGGUUGGAACCAACAGAAUGACUACUGGUCUCCACAGCCUGUCCCGCCACUCCCUAGGCUCACCUGCGGAGGAAGGAGCAGAAGGAGCAGAUGAUGAACAACUCAGUAGGCUUGGGGGGUCCUUGAGCAAAGUGACCCAUGUUUCAAGGACCCAGGGAUGCUGGAAGACAUUCAGAGCACCCCUCCACCCAGCAUGCAUGGAUGAGUGGACUAGAAUGUUCCCCCAUUGUGUCUGGGCCAGUGGACCUGAGACAGCCUCACAGAGAAAACAUGGUACCCUAUGCCAUGGGAUGUUCCCCAUGCCUGAGACAGGUGUGAGGAGCAUCUCACAGGAGUGAGAAGGAUGAAGUAGUGGCCUAUAUAGACCCACAAGGACAAAAGCUGAUAAAAAAGAUGAAUGUUUUAGAGGGUGCCUGGGAACUCCUCCCCUUGACUCCCUCACCCUGAGCUUCAGUGCCUCCAUGCUGUGUAAGCUCCCUGGAAUGGACACUCAAAAGCUUGAAUGGACUGAAAUUUAGUCUCCAUUACUUGGUGAAAUGGGACCUUAAAAUGCAAAAUGAAUUCAAUCAUAGAAAAAUACAUUUGUCACCUUGAGUUUGUGGACUGAGAUUUGUACCUGCCUGAAUUCGGUUCAUUUGCAAAUAUGUUAUUUGUAUAAAUUUUUAAAAAUUAUUACAACUGUGUAAUGACCAAAUAAAACUUGAAACAUGUUUCUAAAGAGCAUUUAUUGAGUGUAAACUCUGUACCAGGUCUGACCUAUUUUCCUUCUUUUUUUUUUUAUGGUUUUAUUUAUUAUUCAUGAGAGACACACAGAGAGAGGCAGACACACAGAGGGAGAAGCAGGUUCCUUGCAAGGAGCCUGAUGUGGGACUUGAUCCUGAGACUCCAGGAUCACACCCUGGACUGAAGGCAGGCGCUCAACAGCUGAGCCACCCAGGCAUCCCUGACCUAUUCUCUUUAUAUACACGAUCUCAUUUAUAUUCCUUAGAAUUCAUAGGUGCAAGUAUCUCCUUUUUGUGUUUAGAGAAACAAAGAUUUAGAGAAGUUAAAAAAAAUUUUUUUAAGUAAACCCUACACACAACAUGGGGCUUAAACUCACAACUCUAAGAUCAAGUAAGUGUCACAUGCUCUACCCACUGAGCCAGCCCGGUGCCCCAAGAGAAGUUAAAUACUUUGCCCAAGGCCACACGUGAUAAAUAAUGGAGACAGAAUUCAAACCCAGGAAUACCUGGCUUUUAAAUCAAUAUUCUUUUUUUUAAGAUCUUAUUUUUAAGUAAUCUCUAUACCCAAUGUGGGGCUUGAACUCACAACACUGUAAUCAAGAGUAGCUUGCUUGGGGUGCCUGGGUGGCUCAGUCAGUUCAGCAUCUGCUUUGGGCGGGGGUCACGAUCCUAGGAUCCUGAGAUGGAGUCCCCUGUUGGGCUCCUUGCUCAGCAGGGAGACUGCUUCUCCCUCUCCCUCUGCUCCCUGGAUCAUGUUCUCUCUCUCUCUCUUGCUCUCUCUCUCACUCUCAAAUAAAAAAAUCUUAAAAAAAAAAAAAAAA
rnacentral:lncRNA from 1 species